UACAGGGGGGGCAAGCGUUGUUCGGAAUUACUGGGCGUAAAGGGUCUGUAGGUGGCCAACUAAGUCAGACGUGAAAUCCCUCAGCUUAACUGGGGAACUGCGUCUGAUACUGGCAGGCUUGAAUCCGGGAGAGGGAUGCGGAAUUCCAGGUGUAGCGGUGAAAUGCGUAGAUAUCUGGAGGAACACCGGUGGCGAAGGCGGCAUCCUGGACCGGCAUUGACGCUGAGGCGCGAAAGCCAGGGGAGCAAAGCGGG
rnacentral:rRNA from 1 species